GCUACGGGGGGCAGCAGUGAGGAAGAUUGGUCAAUGGGCGCGAGCCUGAACCAGCCAAGUAGCGUGAAGGAUGACUGCCCUACGGGUUGUAAACUUCUUUUAUAAAGGAAUAAAGUGAGGCACGUGUGCCUUUUUGUAUGUACUUUAUGAAUAAGGAUCGGCUAACUCCGUGCCAGCAGCCGCGGUAAUACGGAGGAUCCGAGCGUUAUCCGGAUUUAUUGGGUUUAAAGGGAGCGUAGAUGGGUUGUUAAGUCAGUUGUGAAAGUUUGCGGCUCAACCGUAAAAUUGCAAUUGAUACUGGCCGUCUUGAGUACAGUUGAGGUAGGCCGCAUUCGUGUUGUAGCGGU
rnacentral:rRNA from 1 species